rnacentral:rRNA from 1 species
UGCCUACGGGAGGCAGCAGUGGGGAAUAUUGCGCAAUGGGGGAAACCCUGACGCAGCAACGCCGCGUGAGUGAAGAAGUAUCUCGGUAUGUAAAGCUCUAUCAGCGGGGAAGAAGGAAGACGGUACCUGACUAAGAAGCCCCGGCUAACUACGUGCCAGCAGCCGCGGUAAUACGUAGGGGGCAAGCGUUAUCCGGAUUUAUUGGGUUUAAAGGGUGCGCAGGCGGUCUGUUAAGUCAGCGGUCAAAGCCCGGGGCUCAACCCCGGCCCGCCGUUGAAACUGGCAGUCUCGAGUUGGAGAGAAGG